AACGCGAAGAACCUUACCUGGGCUCGAACGGCUUAAGAUCAUCUUUGGAAACAGAGACUUCCCGCAAGGGACUUGAGUCGAGGUGCUGCAUGGCUGUCGUCAGCUCGUGUCGUGAGAUGUUGGGUUAAGUCCCGCAACGAGCGCAACCCUUGUCCUGUGUUGCCACUCCCGCAAGGGAAGCACUCUCAGGAGACCGCCAGCGAUAAGCUGGAGGAAGGUGGGGAUGAUGUCAAGUCAUCAUGGCCUUUAUGUCCAGGGCUACACACGUGCUACAAUGGGCGGUACAAAGCGCUGCAAACCCGCGAGGGGGAGCUAAUCGCAAAAAACCGUUCUCAGUUCGGAUCGCAGGCUGCAACUCGCCUGCGUGAAGCUGGAAUCGCUAGUAAUGGCGUAUCAGAAUGAUGCCGUGAAUACGUUCCCGGGCCUUGUA
rnacentral:rRNA from 1 species